AUUGCAGUGAUGAGGCUAAGCACUUUAGGGGUGUAAUUAGGGCAGUGGACAAGACGAUUUGUUUUGUCUUGCCGUGAUCCCAAUUUAAAACGACUUCUCCUUCCACUGAGCACU